rnacentral:rRNA from 1 species
UACAGAGGCCACAAGCAUUAGUCGGAAUCACUGGGCUUAAAGGGUGCGUAGGUUGUCCAUCAAGUGCUUUGUGAAAUCCCACGGCUCAACCGUGGAACAGCAGGGCAUACUGAUGGACUUGAGGCAAGUAGGGGCUGACGGAACAGUAGGUGGAGCGGUGAAAUGCGUAGAUAUCUACUGGAACGCCGAUGGUGAAGACGGUCAGCUGGGCUUGUCCUGACACUGAGGCACGAAAGCAUGGGGAGCAAACAGGAUUAGAUACCCGUGU